GGAGUUUCUUUAACCUCAUGAAUGAUGGGAAUGGAGGGAGGAUGGGAACAGGAAAUACAAUAGAAUGUGGACAUAACUUUCGUAUUUUCAUAUAAAAACACAUGACCAGCAUAACUCCACAUCAUGUACAACCACAAGAAUAAGAAGUUAUACUCCAUGUAUGUAUAAUAUGUCAAAAACAUACUCUACCAUCAUAUACAUGAUUUUAUUUUCAUUUCACAAAACAAAAUUAAAUGGCAAAGGUGAUGACAAAAAUAACAGAAUAUCCUUAGAGACUGGGACUCUAACUGCAGAGAUAGCAAGUAGAGAAAUGACCCCAUUCAAAUAUGGGAUGGUAACAUGUCAGUGACUAGUGUGUUGAGAAAACCAGCAGAGAAAAUAGUAGGCAACCAUGGGAAACAAACACUUGUGUUUAAAAGGUAUCUUUAUAUACAGAACUUGGUCUUUCAGAUAGUCACAUGUUUUCUAAGCUGACAUUGGUGCACUCAGAGCUAGUUAUCACAAUGCAGGAAGAAAGAAGUAUAGAGCCAUCUUUUCCUUGAGUCAUAAGAUUGGUGAGAGAUGAGGUUUUGCACACGGAAGAAUUAAAGGUAUAUUGAUUCACACUGUAAAAUAUUUUAAAACCCCUUUGCCUAAUAUCUGAAGGUUCUAUGAAGGAACAAGAUGUAUGACCAUAACCAAGAGGUAAAAAAUUGAAUUUAGAGGCUUUUUGUAGUUAAUUGGGAGGACAGGAACAGGGCUACACAUAAUGACAAGGGCUUGAGGUCGGGAACCUAGGAAGAGCUGAUAAAGUGCUUUCUGUACAAACAAAAACUAAAACCCUUUCUAUUUCUCCCAAGUGAUUUUCUGUAAACAUUAAAAUAUUCCACUGAUGGAGAGCUUCAUAUUCUGUCACUAAACUCUGGAAUUUUUUUUAAUCAAAGUAGAUUUGCUUUUUUAAGAAAAGAGAUAAAUUAUUUUUAUUAUUUUCUGUUCAUAGUAAAAUUUUUGUCUGUAUAAGAGACAAUAGAGAGAAAAGAAAAAAAACAUAUUCCCUACUACACAGAGACAAUCAACAUUACGAUUUUGGUGUAUGUUUCUCCAAAUAUUAUCUAUGUAUGCAUACACACGUUAAAAU
rnacentral:lncRNA from 1 species